UUUUAAAUAGGUGCCAAUAUAAUGAGGCAAAGUCUUGUCUUCAACUCAAUGGCAUUUCUCUGUGUGUGUCAUGUGAUACCUUUGAAACACUGUCUUCUGUAUGGCAGGAUCAGAAGGCUGGCCUAGAAAAAGGGGAGAAUGUGUGCCCACAUCCUUCUUGACAAGGGAGAGCACUGGAAUUGCAAGAAAUCUCUGAAUUAAGAGAGAUGCCAAAAAAAAAGGAAAAAAACCCAAAUGUAGACAGAGCCAAGUAAGAGUGAAAUAAAAAAUGAAUCAAGAGAAGCCUGUGUGUAAAGAAGCAAAGUGGGAAAAUGAAAAUUUUAAUGCAACUGGCACUGGAGACAUAUCCCAGUGAAGCCCCUCAGAAGACUGGCAUGCUGAAAAAUGCACAGUGCUGGGAAAAGGUAAGGAGAACCAGAUUCUCAACAUAAUCCAGCACUUUGGAGGAGUUUGCAAGAGUCUAUCACAGCUGGAGCUUGUACGCUCAGCCUGCAGUAAAUCAUGAG
rnacentral:lncRNA from 1 species